rnacentral:rRNA from 1 species
UACGGAGGGGGCUAGCGUUGUUCGGAAUUACUGGGCGUAAAGCGCACGUAGGCGGCUUUGUAAGUUAGAGGUGAAAGCCCAGGGCUUAACCCUGGAAUUGCCUUUAAGACUGCAUCGCUAGAAUCGUGGAGAGGUGAGUGGAAUUCCGAGUGUAGAGGUGAAAUUCGUAGAUAUUCGGAAGAACACCAGUGGCGAAGGCGACUCACUGGACACGUAUUGACGCUGAGGUGCGAAAGCGUGGGGAGCAAACAGGA